AGCUUAAUAGUCAAAAUUGAUUUUAAAUUGCAAAUUUAAAGGUGGAGCAUUCCUUAAGUUU
rnacentral:tRNA from 1 species